GCACCCAUAGUUCAACGGAUAGAACGACGGUUUCCGGAGCCGUAGAUCUAGGUUCGAUUCCUAGUGGGUGUA
rnacentral:tRNA from 2 species